rnacentral:rRNA from 1 species
GACGAACGCUGGCGGCGUGCUUAACACAUGCAAGUCGAACGGAAAGGCCCUGCUUUUGUGGGGUGCUCGAGUGGCGAACGGGUGAGUAACACGUGAGUAACCUGCCCUUGACUUUGGGAUAACUUCAGGAAACUGGGGCUAAUACCGGAUAGGAGCUCCUGCUGCAUGGUGGGGGUUGGAAAGUUUCGGCGGUUGGGGAUGGACUCGCGGCUUAUCAGCUUGUUGGUGGGGUAGUGGCUUACCAAGGCUUUGACGGGUAGCCGGCCUGAGAGGGUGACCGGCCACAUUGGGACUGAGAUACGGCCCAGACUCCUACGGGAGGCAGCAAUGGGGAAUAUUGCACAAUGGGCGGAAGCCUGAUGCAGCAACGCCGCGUGCGGGAUGACGGCCUUCGGGUUGUAAACCGCUUUCGCGUGUGACGAAGCGUGAGUGACGGUAAUGGGUAAAGAAGCACCGGCUAACUACGUG